rnacentral:misc_RNA from 1 species
UGUCUGGAUUAAACAUACACACCAGUAGGUAUUUGUAACUAUAACUUUAUUUUUUGUUUACAAUUUAUUUCAAUAAGUUUAGUUCCUCGAUGACGCCUAGAUGGCGUUGGUAGAUUUAUUUAAAUUUCUGAAUCACGCAAGCACUACAUCAACAUGUUAAUAUGUAAUCGCUUUCAAGUAAACGAUAAAAUGUGUUAUAAGAAAAAAA